rnacentral:rRNA from 1 species
GACGAACGCUGGCGGCGUGCUUAACACAUGCAAGUCGAACGGAAAGGCCCUGCUUUUGUGGGGUGCUCGAGUGGCGAACGGGUGAGUAACACGUGAGUAACCUGCCCUUGACUUUGUGAUAACUUCAGGAAACUGGGGCUAAUACCGGAUAGGAGCUCUUGCUGCAUGGUGGGGGUUGGAAAGUUUCGGCGGUUGGGGAUGGACUCGCGGCUUAUCAGCUUGUUGGUGGGGUAGUGGCUUACCAAGGCUUUGACGGGUAGCCGGCCUGAGAGGGUGACCGGCCACAUUGGGACUGAGAUACGGCCCAGAAUCCUACGGGAGGCAGCAGUGGGGAAUAUUGCACAAUGGGCGGAGGCCUGAUGCAGAAACGCCGCGUGCGGGAUGACGGCCUUCGGGUUGUAAACCGCUUUCGCCUGUGACGAAGCGUGAGUGACAGUAAUGGGUAAAGAAGCACCGGCUAACUACGUG